UACGGAGGGUGCGAGCGUUGUCCGGAAUCAUUGGGCGUAAAGGGCGCGUAGGUGGCCCGGUCAGUCUUUGGUGAAAGCGCGGGGCUCAACCCUGCGUCGGCCAGGGAUACUGCCGCGGCUCGAGCACUGUAGAGGCAGGCGGAAUUCCGGGUGUAGCGGUGGAAUGCGUAGAGAUCCGGAAGAACACCGGUGGCGAAGGCGGCCUGCUGGGCCUGAUCUGACGCUGAGGUGCGAAAGCGUGGGGAGCGAACAGG
rnacentral:rRNA from 1 species